rnacentral:rRNA from 1 species
AACGAACGCUGGCGGCAUGCCUAACACAUGCAAGUCGAACGAGACCUUCGGGUCUUGUGGCGCACGGGUGCGUAAUGCGUGGGAACCUGCCCUUAGGUUCGGAAUAACUCCCCGAAAGGGGUGCUAAUACCGGAUAAUGUCUUCGGACCAAAGAUUUAUCGCCUUUGGAUGGGCCCGCGUUGGAUUAGCUAGUUGGUAGGGUAAAAGCCUACCAAGGCGACGAUCCAUAGCUGGUCUGAGAGGAUGAUCAGCCACACUGGGACUGAGACACGGCCCAGACUCCUACGGGAGGCAGCAGUGGGGAAUAUUGGACAAUGGGCGAAAGCCUGAUCCAGCAAUGCCGCGUGAGUGAUGAAGGCCUUAGGGUUGUAAAGCUCUUUUACCCGGGAUGAUAAUGACAGUACCGGGAGAAUAAGCUCCGGCUAACUCCGUG